UACGUAGGGGGCGAGCGUUGUCCGGAUUUAUUGGGCGUAAAGAGCUCGUAGGCGGUUUGGUAAGUCGGGUGUGAAAUCUCCACGCUCAACGUGGAGGGGCCACUCGAUACUGCCAUGACUCGAGUCCGGUAGAGGAGUGUGGAAUUCCCGGUGUAGGGGUGAAAUUCGUAGAUAUUCGCAGGAACACCAGUGGCGAAGGCGGCUCACUGGUCCGAUACUGACGCUGAGGUGCGAAAGCGUGGGGAGCAAACAGGG
rnacentral:rRNA from 1 species